UGCAUAUCAAUAAGCGGAGGAAAAGUAACUAACAAGGAUUGCCCCUAGUAACGGCGAGUGAAGCGGGAAGAGCUCAAAUUUGAAAUCUGGUAGCCUUCGGUUGCCCGAGUUGUAAUCUAGAGAAGUGUUUUCCGUGCCGGCCCAUGUACAAGUCCCUUGGAACAGGGCGUCAUAGAGGGUGAGAAUCCCGUCCUUGACAUGGACCCCCGGUGCUUUGUGAUACACUUUCAACGAGUCGAGUUGUUUGGGAAUGCAGCUCAAAAUGGGUGGUGAAUUCCAUCUAAAGCUAAAUAUUGGCGAGAGACCGAUAGCGAACAAGUACCGUGAGGGAAAGAUGAAAAGCACUUUGGAAAGAGAGUUAAACAGUACGUGAAAUUGUUGAAAGGGAAACGAUUGAAGUCAGUCAUGCUCUUAGGAUUCAGCCGUUCUGCGGUGUAUUUCCUUUGAGUGGGGUCAACAUCAGUUUUGAUCGAUGGAUAAAGGCACGAGGAAGGUAGCACUCUCGGGUGAACUUAUAGCCUCGCGUCAUAUACAUUGAUUGGGACUGAGGAACGCA
rnacentral:rRNA from 1 species